rnacentral:rRNA from 1 species
AACGAACGCUGGCGGCAUGCCUAACACAUGCAAGUCGAACGAUUGCCUUCGGGUGAUAGUGGCGCACGGGUGCGUAACGCGUGGGAAUCUGCCCUUAGGUUCGGAAUAACAGCUGGAAACGGCUGCUAAUACCGGAUGAUAUCACGAGAUCAAAGAUUUAUCGCCUGAGGAUGAGCCCGCGUUGGAUUAGGUAGUUGGUGGGGUAAAGGCCUACCAAGCCGACGAUCCAUAGCUGGUCUGAGAGGAUGAUCAGCCACACUGGGACUGAGACACGGCCCAGACUCCUACGGGAGGCAGCAGUGGGGAAUAUUGGACAAUGGGCGCAAGCCUGAUCCAGCAAUGCUGCGUGAGUGAUGAAGGCCCGAGGGUUGUAAAGCUCUUUUACCCGGGAAGAUAAUGACUGUACCGGGAGAAUAAGCCCCGGCUAACUCCGUG